GCGGGUAUGGCGGAAUUGGCAGACGCGCCAGAUUUAGGUUCUGGUGGGACACCCCGUGCAGGUUCAAGUCCUGUUACCCGCA
rnacentral:tRNA from 3 species